UGUUGCUGCUGUUUAUUGUAUAAUGUAGUAUUGGGCAAGCGUAGCAGGGUUGUUUCCUGUUGCAGGAGAACGAUGGCGGAGUGCUCAAAGAGCAUCCAACAAGAAGCAGUCACUGUAGCCCUGAUGAAGCUAAGUUUCCAUCAAGCAUCUGCUUGUGAUAUACUCUACCAACAAAGUACUCUUCAUUUGCAGAGUGCAUUGAAUGAAAUGGAUUAAAUAAUGGCAAAAGGAACCAAAGAGAAAAAUUUCUGGAAAUCACGGAAUCUGACACAAAGUCAUUUCCACUUUUGGCUGAGUGGUGUUAGAAUUUGAUUGUGUCCUCAGUUGAACGAGAAGAAGACUUUCAAGGAAUUGUUUUCCAGCCUGAAAGCUGUUGAUUACUGCUAAAUGCUGUCCGUCAGACACAUCAGCUGCAAGAGAUAAGUAGUCAUUACAUGUAAGGUCAAAAUCACUUUCUGGUGACAUACAUUUUGCACAUUAAAUAUCUCAUUAUAUCAUGCUUGUAAGACCACAGGGGGAAGAAUGCACGUGCUGUGCUGCUCCCCAUUCUGAUAUAUGGUGCACAUGAUAUGUCACAAAUCUCCUGUAAUUUUUCUUGCAAUACAGAACUAUAACUGCAAGUUUCUUAUGCAAAACAAUCAAACUGAUCACGUAGGCUGUGAAGAUCAGGACGCUGCUUCUGCUUGUAUAUACAGCUAAAAAAACAGGAGAAAUAAAAGCAGUGAAAUAGUUUGUUUCAGUGGGAACAAUACUAUUUUGCACUAGAUGUUGUUGAAACCUGUAAAUCUAGACAGUAUCACCACUUCUGCAGUAGAAGAAGAUUUUCAAGCGAAAAAUUAGAAACAACGCACUAAGUGAAGUGGAAAUUUUUAUUAUAACUCUGCAUGCUUUUGAAUGCUGAUAUCUUCUUAUUCAAAGGAUUAGCGUUUCCAAAUCUUUUUGUGUCAGGUGGACAGAAGGCUACUUGAUUGGUUGUUCAGAGGUUAAUUUUGGAACUGUAAAUAAAGGCUUGUUAAAAGUAGAACCCAUCUAUCUCACAACCUGUGAAAAAACAAUCUAGGAAAAUGUUCAUUCUCAUUUCAGUGCCUCUAUCUACUUUGUACCUUGUUUUAUUUUUUUCUUUAUUAACCUGUCUCAAACAAAGAUUUUAUUUAGAUAAGCAUGAUACAACUGUCAAAAUGUGGUCACAAACAUUUUGCUUUUUAUUUAGUCAGUUCUUCCAUGCACAGACAACCAAAACAAAAAUCUGUACUCUACGAUCUAUUCUGGUCUGCUGAUAAAUUUGCUGGAAAGAUUCUGUACCUUGCUUUGCUUUUUUUCUGUGUGUUCCUUUUUCAUACCCUGCAUCUCUGGCAAUCCUGACAGUUGUUGCGAACUUCAGAUUUCUCCAGCCCUCAAGUACAGCUAUUGAACUUCAGUGAAAAAUUCUAUGUGUGUGUGUAUUUGGUAUUUAGUCUGAUACACUGAUAAUGUUGUUUCCUAUAAACCUGUUUAAAACGUAAUUUGUAAGAAACCAACCCCAAAAUAAAUAAUAUUAACAACACAAACCAUCCCUAGAACCAAACUACCACUUCUUCAGACAAACGUCUUCAAAAACAGUUGAUCAUACUUUGUUAAGAAGCAGAUGGUUGUGGUCACAGAACUGGAAGUUAUACACUAGAAAAACACUAGCUCAAAGAUAAACAUACUUCUGCACUUAGCAAGUAGCCAUGCUACAUUAAAUAUGAAAUGUGAGUGUUGCCAUCUCCUACAACAGUUUUACUUUCAUUUUUAUUUAUUUGUCAUGUGAACAGAAAGCCAUCCGUGAAAGUGCUGCCAUCAAUAGAGGUGAGAAAGCAUAGAUUGGACUGAACAGACUUUACUCAUUGGACUGAUGUGGAAAAACAGCACAGAGAAACUUGUGCUACUGGUGAUUAGAACAUUUUUCUUCUCAGUUGAAAGCUCCUCGAGCAUGAAAGAGAGUAAUUGAAAAAAAAAAGCAAGAGAUCCCCUGAAGACUCAUAGCAACAACCUCCUCCUGCAUUUUUUGUCAUCUUACUGUCAAGACUGGAAGCAGUUUCACAGUGUUUAGAGGACAAGUGUUUUUAAUUUUCUUUUUUACUUCUGCUCUGGAAUUGUCCAUUUUCCCAGUAUGUAUUGUAUUUUAACUUUUUUGGACUUCUUUGUUUCUUAUCUUGCUAUUUAUACUUUUUUAGAAACAGCCCGGGGUGAGAGCUGUUUUUUUUGUAUUGUUAUCUGCUCCUUGGAUGCUGAUUAAUUAUCAGUACUUUCA